AAGAACUCUCUUCUUCUUGGUGUUCAAAAUCUAUAGGCUCCAAAACCCCUCCCCUCUUCCAACAAAUCCCAUGGGUUCUCUAGGUGAUGUGCUUCCCUGCUCAGCCCGAUCCUCCGGUGCUGCCACAGUACUUGGUAUCGGCGUUGCUGCUCCUCCCCACGUUGUGGAGCAGAGCACCUUCCCGGACUACUACUUCAACAUCACAAAUAGCAACCAUAUGACCG
rnacentral:misc_RNA from 1 species